UCCCCGCCCGGCGGCCGCCAUGAUGAGGAGGUCGGCGUUGCCUCCGCGGGGCCGGCAGGGAGGGGGAUCUGGGCGAGGGUCUCUGCCGGCCCCCGCGGCCUCCGGGAGCCCACGUUUAGCUUGACAGGGUUGGAUGGGGCCGGAACCAUGAAGGCAACUGGAUUAGUCAAGUGUGGACUCUUGGGAGAGUGGCGCAGGCAGCCCAAGAUGGUUGCUAAUCUGGAAAUAGUAACGUUUCUCGCCCCCCAGCCCCGAGAAUUAUAGCACCUCCUGAACAAGCCUCGACAAUUGGGAACGGGCUUCCCCGCAUUUUCCUCAGUCUUGACAGUCUCAUCUUCACCCUGUCUUCGGAAUGACCUUUGUUUCCCGAUUUCAAACCCUGCCCAGCACUUCUCAGACCAUGAAUCCUCCACAAUCCAGAAGCUGCCGGAGGGCAGGGAUUUCAUCUUGUUCAUGAUUUUAUACCAGCAUCUCACGCAAUGCCUGGCUCAUAGUAGACCUUCAAUAAACAUAUAAUGAGAGACCUCUGUGUCCAUCCUCCUCAGACAUGCAAGUUAUUUUCUUAAGACAAAUGAGCCUGUGAACCCCAGUUCCUCUAUCCAAAAGCCUCUUCAUUCUGGAUAACCAAAUAUUGUAGAAUCAGUCUCAGGGAAAAAAGCAGAAAAAUCUACCCUAAGAGAUUAAAAGAACUGGAUUCCAAUGAAGUGACAGUGAUCAGCUUCAGCACGUGGAAGUCAGAAACUGUAGACAGGAUAAUGUCAGAAGACAACUCUAUAAGGAGGAAAAGGGAGAGUCUCCUGGCAGAGAGGGUGAGACCCCUGAAGAGCGUGAGGUACAGGAGUGAAUAGCUGUCAGCCUUGCGCAGAAGAGCAGAGAGCCUGUUGUAUCCAGAAGCUUCCUGUCAACACUGCCCAUGUCAAUAUCACCGGCCUCAGAGCCCUCAAGGUCAAGUCUCUACCCUCCUAGUUACCGGCGCUGAAAAUCAGCAGUAGGUCGACACCACCUCCCUGUCUGCAUCCCAGGUGAUCACGAAAUCUUGAUGAUACUAUAGGAGGUCUUUGGGAAUUCACAAUUAAGUAGUCAAGGGUAUGACUAUUUGGGAGCAACUCCAAAGUCCAUGGACCUCCAGCCAUUUGGAAUGGGAUCACCACUCACCUAGGUAGGGGUGUUGUCAGGAGUUUCCUAGAAGGUUCUGCAAAGCCCCAGCAGGAGUCGAAACGGCAGCAUUUAGCGCUGAGAGCGGAUAGCCUACAGCUGCCACCCCCUCAGCCCAGGGAGUGAUGCUUUUAAAACCAGGGAGUCCAGAAACUGCAAAAACACCCCUUCUAUGACCAGGAUCCAUUCUCCCCCCUCUGUAACGUCCGCGGGGUCCCUCUCCUUUCCACUCCGCCCGCCCCGUUCAGGGGCCCAUCUGCACCUGCGCCCCGCAGCACCUGCUCCGGCUUCCUCCCGCCCGGGAGCCCCGCCCCGCCCCGCCCCGCCGAAGCCGGCCGAGCCCCCCAGCCCGCCCGCCAGCCCGCCCGCCGGCCUGCAGGCCUUUCCCCAGCCGGCGCCUCCACCCGACAUUUUCCUCCCCGCGCUGCCCCUCCUGCUCCAACCACAGUCUUGUGUGGUGACUCCACGAUUGAAAACCCGGCCCAAUCACAUGCUCUGUCGAUUGGGUCAGUGUUGCCAGCAUCCUGUGUGGUCAUGUUGUUACUCUUACUUACAUUCCAACCACAGGUGGUCAGCUAAGAAAAACAAGACCAGAAGAUGCUGACGGUUCAAGGGGCAUAGAUUAACUGUACAGGGGAGAGGAAGAGGCAGGACAGAGGACUGGGGCCCCGGGGGCCCCGGGCUGGGUGGCCGCCCGCUGGUCCCUGGUCCCUCAAGGGCCUGGAGAGCUAGGGCGGAGCCGUAGAGCCUCGAGUUCCUGGGCCCCAGCUGACGAAUACACAGCCUCGGGGGAUUCAACUUCAUAGGAAGGAGUUUCACACCCUGUGGUUGGAAAAAGUUGGUUGGAGGCAAAUGGGUUCUUCCCAGAGCAUUGGUAGAUUCCAGCCCUUCUGCAGUGAGGGACAUGGAGGAAAUGAGGUCAAGGUCCUGUGCUUGAUCUGGUCCCAGCCUGGCCUCUGCCUGACCCAGGCCUGGCCGUGGGCUGGAGGGGAGGGGUGGAAGAGGCAGGACACGGAGAAGAGGAACCCUAGGGUAAGAGGAGGACGAGGAGAGCAGCAGGUAGGAGACCAAGCUCCGGAUGUCUUCCUGCAAACGAGCCCAGGAGUUUUGUUUUUAUUCCGGCCAGCAUCAGGAGAUGACUGCCACUGCCAAAAUACUUUGCUGCUCUUUCUUGACUCCAUCUUCCCGGUAGCGGCUCCUGUUGUACUCACCCUGGAGGUGACCGGCCAGGACACGGCCGCCCAGAGCAAGGCUCAUGUAGCCUCACUGGAGGGCAUCGCUCCCAAAGACCAUGUCAUGCUCUUGACAGGCACACCUGCAGAGGCUGAGGCUACCCUGGGUCAACGUGGAGUGGAGCUCUGGCCAGCCUGGAAGGAGCCAGCCGCACGCUUGGAGGUGAAGUCCGUGGCUCCCUGGCGCGUGCUGGCCAAGUCAGAGGGCGGACUCCCAAGGUGGCCAAACAGGAGAAAAAGAAGACAGGCUGAACCAUGCAAUUGAUGCAGGACAACCAGCGCUUGGUCAACGUCACGCCCACCUUUGGCAAGAAGAAGGGCCCCAAUGCCAACUCUUAAAUCCGUUGUAAUCCUGGCUCUCCCCAACAAAGCCACUAAGUCCAGUUGUCAACAACAACAACAACAACAACAAAACAACUUUGUUACAGUUCCCAAGAGCAGGGCCAUUCUGCCACUCAGGCCUCAGCGUCAGGAGUGAGGGGAAAGCAUGGGCCAGAGCCUUUAUUGGGGUUUUUGCUGGAAGGAAUAGACAAGGCAGGGUGGGCAUGCUGGGCAGGCUUAGGAGGGGACAGUGGGGGUAAUUUCAGUGGGCUCUGGCUCCAGGGGCGUCCCUGCUGGUCUGGUAUCUGGCCCUGGGGGGAUUUAGGGUAGGAGGAUAGUGUCCUGACUGUAGGAAGCUGAUAAAAGGAGGUGAACGUGGGCGAGAGGGGCGGAUUCGUUGGUUUGCAUAUCAAAGGUAGGCUCACCGGCAAGUUGUCUGCUAUUUCUAGAAGGCAGCUAACCGUGGGAGGAGCAGUCCCUCUCUGGGCCUGCAAGGCCCUGGAGACCUCAAAACAUCACAAAAUACAGAAAAUAGAAAGCAGAAUGUCAGAAUGUGCCAGAGCAUCAGGGAGUCUGCGAGGGGCUGUCACGUCGCUAUGAACCCCACCCACCCAGUGAGGUAGAGCAUGAGAGACGGAAGUGCCAUGUGAAAGCAGGAGGCUCCCGGUUCCGGCAACAGCUCCCUUGGACAGUCGGCUGGUGUGAUGCAAACACGCUCUCACUCUCCCCCAGAAGGUGCCGCGUGGGGUGGACUCAGGCUUUGGCUCUGGAGUCAGACCUGGUUGGGGACCACUGUGUGACCAGGGGAAGUUACUUCACCCUUCUGAGCCCAAGGGAUGGUUGGGAGAAUUAAAGAAAUUUGAGGACAGAAGCAUCUCUUAUCUGCAAAUUCCUUGCUCUGUGAGUUGUACAAAUGCCUCGGAGAGCUCUCUGGAACUGGCUAAAAAAAUGCUGAUUUCCUGGCUCCCCCAGACCUUCAUGUGACCUGGGCCACACUCAGUACAUUGCAGAAAGACAGCAAGACCAAGAGAAGUGAGUGUGUUCUGGUAACAGCAGGGGGACACUGGGGCAGAGCUGACCUCACAGCCAUUACCCCGGGAAAGCUGGCUAGGCUGGGUGGCCGGUCACCCCCAACCGCUGGAAGCAGGCGCCCAGGGCCCCGGGCCACACAUGCCAGCCCCAGAGUGGGAGCAGCUCUUUUUGUGCCACACACAGAGGGCUGGCACCCCUCGGCUGGGUCCGCCGACCUGCUGUGGCCCCAGUACUGAAGUUGGAGGUGUUCAGCUUCACACGACAGAGACUAUUUUCAGCUCUGUGAGGCCCAGAAUGAGAAAUAGAUUCACAUCCUCGGAGGAAAAUGGAAAUGUCAUCUCCUUUUCAAGUUCCUAGUAGUACCUGUACAUUCCAAACUGUGGAGAAUGAACUAUUUGCUUAUUUAUUUUAAUAUGGACAUUUUUUAAAGCAAGUUGAUUUGUUCCUGGUCAUCUUUUUUUUCCCCCCCAAGAUUUUAUUUAUUUAUUUGACAUAUAGCACAAGCAGUGGGAGAGGCAGAGGGAGAGGAAGAAGCAGACUCCCCGCUGAGUCAGGAGCCCGAUGUGGGACUGGAUCCCAGGACCUUGGGAUCAUGACCUGAGCCGAAAGCAGAUGCUUAGCCGACUCAGCCACCCCGGUGCCCCUUCCUGGUCAUCUCUUAGCUGCAAAUUCCAUGAAGGCUAAAAAUUGAGAGUUCUCUUGUAAUACUCACUCCUUAAUCCUGCCUGCUCCCAACACAACCAAAUCUUUGUAUGAUUUCUGAUGGAGCAACAUUUUGCUGAGGUGAUUUCACAGAAUUCUGUAGCCAACACUCUGUUGUCACCGGUCUUCUGGCCAGUGCUGUGACCACGUGAGCCCACACCCCGGACCCCAGGGCACCCCUGUUUUCUGAAAUGCCUGACUCAUCCUACCCAGGCUUUCUUGAAGAAAGUGAAGUGAAGUUAAGCCCUCCCACACUCCUUUAAAAAUGUAUACUCUAAAUUCCAGUUGUCGUAGUAACAUCUUCAUGCUGCCCCGCUGCCUUUUAUAUAUUUUGGUGCUGAUGGACCAUCAGUUACCAUGAGAACAGGAAUGUCUUUAAACAGCGAAUCUUAUGGAGCUCAGUUUUGUGCCGUGUGCAAAACAAAACCCACGUCCACAGGGACGGCCUCAACAGAGCUUUGAUAGUUUAACAAUGGAAUGGGACCUAGAAACCAAUAGUCUCAUUUGGUUCUCUGAAU